rnacentral:rRNA from 1 species
UACGGGGGGGGUAAGCGUUGUUCGGAAUUACUGGGCGUAAAGGGCUCGUAGGCGGCCAACUAAGUCAGACGUGAAAUCCCUCAGCUUAACUGGGGAACUGCGUCUGAUACUGGAUGGCUUGGAUUUGGGAGAGGGAUGCGGAAUUCCAGGUGUAGCGGUGAAAUGCGUAGAUAUCUGGAGGAACACCGGUGGCGAAGGCGGCAUCCUGGACCAUUACUGACACUGAAAAGCGAAAGCCAGGGGAGCAAACGGG